AGACGAACCGUGCGAACGUUAUUCGGAAUCACUGGGCUUAAAGCGUGCGUAGGCGGCUGAGAAAGUUGGGUGUGAAAGGCCUCGGCUCAACCGAGGAAUUGCGCCCAAAACUACUCGGCUUGAGAGAGUUAGAGGUGAGCGGAACUAAUGGUGGAGCGGUGAAAUGCGUUGAUAUCAUUAGGAACACCGGUGGCGAAAGCGGCUCACUGGGGCUCUACUGACGCUGAGGCACGAAAGCUAGGGUAGCGAACGGGAUUAGAUACCCCGGUAGUCCUAGCUGUAAACGAUGAGCACUGGGUCGGAGAACCCUCCACAGUUUUCCGGCCGUAGCGAAAGUGUUAAGUGCUCCGCCUGGGGAGUAUGGUCGCAAGGCUGAA
rnacentral:rRNA from 1 species